AUACGUAGGGUGCAAGCGUUAAUCGGAAUUACUGGGCGUAAAGCGUGCGCAGGCGGUUUUUUAAGACAGUGGUGAAAUCCCCGGGCUCAACCUGGGGACUGCCCUUGUGACUGCAAGGCUGGAGUGCGGCAGAGGGGGGUGGAAUUCCGCGUGUAGCAGUGAAAUGCGUAGAUAUGCGGAGGAACACCGAUGGCGAAGGCAAUCCCCUGGGCCUGCACUGACGCUCAUGCACGAAAGCGUGGGGAGCAAACGGGAUUAGAUACCCUGGUAGUCCACGCCCUAAACGAUGUCAACUGGUUGUUGGGGAUUUAUUUUCUCAGUAACGAAGCUAACGCGUGAAGUUGACCGCCUGGGGAGUACGGCCGCAAGGUUAAAACUUAAAGGAAUUGACGGGG
rnacentral:rRNA from 1 species